GCUAGGAAUUCACAUUUCCUCAUAACUUACUGCGAUUACUACUUUACACUACUAUAGCAAUAUGAAUGGUCCUUUAGGGAACCUGAACUCUCUGGGACCAACCCAGAAACUGGCUAGCAAGCUGUGGGCAGGGCACCGGGAGGCAGAAGGGAGAGCGCAAGGUGGGGACACAGAGAAUGAGCCGCCCACCACGGAGCAGCCUGAGCACGGGACAAGAGAAGGUUUGGUGCUGAAUUAGUUCCGGUUUCUGGCCAUGUAAGAUAUUCUGAUUACUGAAUUCCACCCUUAUUUGUUGCUAAAGGGACUGUAGGAUGUCCUUGUCCUGACAUAGACACCCGAGAGUAUCUACAAAAGUCCUGGGAUCCACUGAAUGUUCAGCCAGGGGCAAGGGAAAGUUAACUCCACUGAACACAUGUGAAGCAGGUGCUGUUAUGGGACAUGUUUAUUCCAUGUACCUGUUACGCUUGAAAUUUCAAAUAUCCUGCUCCAACAAGAAGUGACAAAUGGCAUGUCAAAGAAAUAAUUUGUUGAUUCCUUUGCUUCUUAGGGAUUAUGCACUUUCCAUGGACUGUUUUUUAAAUCCUUCAGAUAAUGAUCUAGUUGACAUAGGGAAAAAAAAUCCACCCUUCUCACCUCUGACUCAGCCUCCAACGGCAAUUAAAUGUCAGAGUUGCCUCUUCCCUAGGCUGGAGACCAAAGGAGUCCAAGAGGUAAAUGUCAGAUCUCCCACAGAGAACUGGGUUCAUUUAUUCUCUGGGACGAUUGUCAGAAUUCACCCAGCUUCCUCUACCUCCACACUAUGUCUCUGUCAGGUGAACCCACCACCGGCUCCCUCCACCUGUGCUCACUCAUUUCAUUUGCUCCUGCUGCAGUGCUGGCCCCCAUGUUGUGCCCCUUCUACAGCACUGGCUUGUCAUUGCUGCUGCUUAUUCCUGCCCAGCCCGGCACCUCCCACACCGGGCCCCAGGCUCGAGCUCUGAUGUCGAUUCCCUGGUCUCUCUGGGCCAGUGUGGCCACUGCUGCUGCCUGGGCACAGCGUCUUGGUUUUCUUGGAUCUGGGUUCUAGUCUCAACUCUGUUAAAACUCUCCGUGUAAUCUUAGACAAUUGUUUGAAUCUCUAUGAGCCUCAGUUUCUUUAUCCAUACAAUUGGGAUAAAAAUAGCUGUACAGGAUACUGUGAAGAAAUAAAGCACUUUGUAAAAGUCAGGUAAUAAAUACAUGCGUGGUCAUACCACCAGUGCAAUCUGGUUAGCAAGCUGGAGUUGGGGUUUCUGACAUUGUCAUCCUUAUCUUCACCCUGCUCCGUCAUUUCCUGCAUCCUUGGCCUUCUGCCCAGGCCUGAUCUUCAGGACCUGAUGUGCCGAAUGCCAAUGUCCAUCUGCCUACCAGCGUCAGUGUCUUCCUGUUGCAUCAUGCAAGGGUCAAUUCAUCACUCUCUUUUAAUCCCAGAUAAGCCUCCUGAGACUUGUCUGUCCACUUUUCUCUGUGACCUAAUCUCCCCAUGACUACAGAGACCUGCACAAUUCCAGUUCAACCAACUCUUCUCUUUUCCUCUCUCAUAGCUAUCACACAGCGAACACCAGGAGAGCAAUGUGGGAGCCAGGGAAAAAGAGUGUUUUAAGAAGCCACCAGGUGUGAACAACUCUGUCAAAUGCUACUAAUAGUUCAAGGAAGAUGAGGCCUGAGAAUUGAUGCCUAGAUUUAGCAAUGUGGAAGUUACCGGCGAGCUUGAUAAGAGCAAAUUUCAGGGAAAAAAGUGAGAACAAAAUUUUGAUUAGAGUAGGUUCAACAGAGAGCAGGAAGAGCUAAAUUAGAGACAGUCAAGAAUAAACAGCUCUUCCAAAGAGUUUUUUUUUUGUUUUGUUUUUGUCGUGUUUUUUAAUUUUUUUCUUAAGCUAAGGAGAAAUAUGGGAAUAGCUGGAGAAACAAAUAGGAUGCAAAGAGUUUUUGCCAGAGAAUAAAGAAAUAAAAAAAGAGAGGAGCCAGUUGAUGAAAUAGGAGAGAGGAAAAUUACUGGAACGACGAAUUGAGUAGGUUAGAGCAGGUGGGAUCUAGUGCAGUAAUGGAGGUGUGGGCCCUCAGGAACGUGGGUGGUUCAACCACAGUGCAAGAAGAGAGGCAGGGUGCAUGUGCACAGGUGCGGGGUGUGGAGAAGCCAUGGAUGGGCUCUUCUAAUUGCUUCAGUCUUCUUAGUUAUACAGGAGGCAAGUCGCCAGAUGAGAACGAGGAUGGAGGAGGAGGUGUUGCAAUUUGAGGGAGAGAAGAGAAUAUUAUAAAUGGUAGCUUAUGCAGUGAUCUUAAGUGAACGUACAAGAAUUACAGUUCCGGAGACAUUCACAUAAACAAGCAUGCCAACCUGUCAGACUUUUUUUUAGUAACACAAUGAAACAAAAGAACAAUUUGAGUAAAAGCGUGCUGAUUGGAAAUUCAUAUAUGGAAGGAGAACCUGCCAGCAGUUGAAGUUUUGAAUAAAGAACACACACCCUCAGAGAAACCGUCCUCUGCACUGUGGAGCCUAAUGGGGGUCCAGAGCUUGUCCCGGGCUGUGCCGUGGGGCCUGCAGCCCUCCUCCCUGACCCCGGGCACAAGCUCCGCGCAGGCAGGCAUCUCCACGCGGGCUGUCAGCCGCCGUCUUCCCACCAACCCGUCUGGGUCGCUGCAGGGACACACGGGCUAAUUGCAGAGCACCCUUCCUUCCCCGCCCUGCUCCCCAUCCGGCGGCGGCCCUGCCCUGCUGCGGUGCGCUCUGCUCCCUGGCCACGGCUCCUCCGGGGGCCAGAGAUGGGCUGCUGGGCCCAAAGCGGGGCCUGUAAGUUCCCUUCACUGGGAUCUUGGACUUGGAAGCAAGUGACGUGAGCCAGUUUGUCCCUGGGUUGUCAAGACUGAGAGCCUCAAAUUCAGGAGCUUUGAGGGACCAUUCGUGUAAGCUGGAGAAACAGAAACAGCCAGUGGAGGGGACGAAGGCGCAAAGAGCAGGACAGGGAGGAGACUGGAACUGCCAGGAUGACCCCUCCCUCGCUCUGCUGCCUCGUUACUCCUCGGGUUCCCAAUAUUCUUCUGAUAAGCCCUUCCUUUUGCUGAAGCGAAUGGAAAUGUUUUUCCGGUCCUUUGAUGUCAAAAGUGUACUAAUAAAUCUCUUGAAAGCACA